rnacentral:rRNA from 1 species
GCAUAUCAAUAAGCGGAGGAAAAGAAACCAACAGGGAUUGCCCCAGUAGCGGCGAGUGAAGCGGCAAAAGCUCAGAUUUGGAAUCGCUUCGGCGAGUUGUGAAUUGCAGGUUGGCGCCUCUGCGGCGGCGGCGGUCCAAGUCCCUUGGAACAGGGCGCCAUUGAGGGUGAGAGCCCCGUGGGACCGUUUGCCUACGCUCUGAGGCCCUUCUGACGAGUCGAGUUGUUUGGGAAUGCAGCUCUAAGCGGGUGGUAAAUUCCAUCUAAGGCUAAAUACUGGCGAGAGACCGAUAGCGAACAAGUACUGUGAAGGAAAGAUGAAAAGCACUUUGAAAAGAGAGUGAAACAGCACGUGAAAUUGUUGAAAGGGAAGGGUAUUGCGCCCGACAUGGAGCGUGCGCACCGCUGCCCCUCGUGGGCGGCGCUCUGGGCGUGCUCUGGGCCAGCAUCGGUUUUUGCCGCGGGAGAAGGGCGGCGGGCAUGUAGCUCUUCGGAGUGUUAUAGCCUGCCGCCGGCGCCGCGAGCGGGGACCGAGGACUGCGACU